GACGAACCACACAAACGUUAUUCGGAAUUACUGGGCUUAAAGGGUGCGUAGGCUGCGCAGAAAGUUGGGUGUGAAAUCCCUCGGCUCAACCGAGGAACUGCGCCCAAUACUACUGUACUCGAGGGAGACAGAGGUGAGCGGAACUUAGGGUGGAGCGGUGAAAUGCGUUGAUAUCCUAAGGAACACCCGUGGCGAAAGCGGCUCACUGGGUCUCUUCUGACGCUGAGGCACGAAAGCUAGGGUAGCGAACGGG
rnacentral:rRNA from 1 species